rnacentral:rRNA from 1 species
ACGCUCGACACCUACGGGAGGUAGCAGUGGGGAAUAUUGCACAAUGGGGGAAACCCUGAUGCAGCGACGCCGCGUGAGUGAAGAAGUAUUUCGGUAUGUAAAGCUCUGUCAGCAGGGAAGAAAAUGACGGUACCUGAGUAAGAAGCCCCGGCUAACUACGUGCCAGCAGUCGCAGUAAUCUGAGCGGGCUGGCAAGGC